rnacentral:rRNA from 1 species
UACAGAGGGGGCAAGCGUUAUUCGGAAUUAUUGGGCGUAAAGGGCGCGUAGGCGGCUUUUCAAGUGACGGGUGAAAUCCCUCGGCUUAACCGAGGAACUGCCUGUCAGACUGGAAGGCUUGAGACCGGGGAGAGGUGAGUGGAAUUCCCAGUGUAGCGGUGAAAUGCGUAGAUAUUGGGAGGAACACCAGUGGCGAAGGCGGUUGCCUGGGGGCUUUGCUGACGCUGAUGCGCGAAAGCGUGGGGAGCGAUCCGG